GAGUUUGAUCCUGGCUCAGGAUGAACGCUGGCGGCGUGCUUAACACAUGCAAGUCGAACGGGGAACCUUUUAUUGAAGCUUCGGCAGAUUUAGAUUGUUUCUAGUGGCGGACGGGUGAGUAACGCGUGGGUAACCUGCCUUAUACAGGGGGAUAACAGUCAGAAAUGACUGCUAAUACCGCAUAAGCGCACAGAGCUGCAUGGCUCAGUGUGAAAAACUCCGGUGGUAUAAGAUGGACCCGCGUUGGAUUAGCUAGUUGGUGAGGUAACGGCCCACCAAGGCGACGAUCCAUAGCCGGCCUGAGAGGGUGAACGGCCACAUUGGGACUGAGACACGGCCCAGACUCCUGCGGGAGGCAGCAGUGGGGAAUAUUGCACAAUGGGCGCAAGCCUGAUGCAGCGACGCCGCGUGCGGGAUGACGGCCUUCGGGUUGUAAACCGCUUUUGACUGGGAGCAAGCCCUUCGGGGUGAGUGUACCUUUCGAAUAAGCACCGGCUAACUACGUGCCAGCCGCCGCGGUAAUAC
rnacentral:rRNA from 1 species